CGGAGGUGCGAGCGUUAUCCGGAAUCACUGGGCGUAAGGCGCGUAGGCGGUUGUAAGUCCGAUGUUAAGACCGAGGCUCAACCUCGAUACGGCGUUGGAUACUGACAAGCUGGACGGUUGGAGAGGAAGGUAGAAUUACCAGUGUAGCGGUGGAAUGCGUAGAUACUGGUAGGAAUACCCAUUGCGAAGGCAGCCUUCUGGACAACACGUGACGCUGAGGCGCGAAAGUGUGGGAGCAAACCGGAUU
rnacentral:rRNA from 1 species